AUUGAACGCUGGCGGCAGGCCUAACACAUGCAAGUCGAGCGGAGCGGCGGUCGGGUGCGUAAUGCUUAGGAAUCUGCCUGGUAGUGGGGGAUAACGUCCGCAAACGGGCGCUAAUACCGCAUCCUCUCAGAUGAGCCUAGGUCGGAUUAGCUAGUUGGUGGGGUAAAGGCCUACCAAGGCGACGAUCCGUAACUGGUCUGAGAGGAUGAUCAGUCACACUGGAACUGAGACACGGUCCAGACUCCUACGGGAGGCAGCAGUGGGGAAUAUUGGACAAUGGGCGAAAGCCUGAUCCAGCCAUGCCGCGUGUGUGAAGAAGGUCUUCGGAUUGUAAAGCACUUUAAGUUGGGAGGCGUUACCAGCAGAAGAAGCACCGGCUAACUCCGUGCCAGCAGCCGCGGUAAUUC
rnacentral:rRNA from 1 species